rnacentral:lncRNA from 1 species
GAAGCUUCAAGUGCAGAGGCACUUGUACAUCUACUUAUCUUGAGUCUCAAUGAUGCUGUUUAUGAGUGAGCUAUUCAAAUGGAGGAAGAAACCCACGGAGAAGGAGAAAUAACAGGUCGGAGUGAUUAUGUACAGAAGGAUAGGCUCUAGCAGGAGUCCAGUGGGAAAGAAGGAAGGGAAUACAAUUAAGAAUUAUUAAUGGCAGAUCUCUAAUGAUUUCACUGGAUCCAAAGGAACAGGGCAAUACUGAGUAAGAAACACUUGAUAUACGAAAAAAGCGUGAGUGCGAAGGAAAAUACAUCAUUCUACAGAUGUUGACGGACUCUGACGGUGGGAAAGCGUCCCUCAAGAUUGAAUUGGAGUAGAAGCUGACCCUCCCACUUGCCCAGAGAUCCCCUAGCUGGUUUCAACACACAUGGGAACAAGAUAUAUUCAUGGAAUGUGCCUUUGAACCUGCAUUCAAAAGAACUCAGACAGAGUUCCAACCAAAGAGAGCAGUUUCAAACAGCCUGUGAAAUCCAAGUAGAUUUCUACCAUACAGAAGUCUAUUUCCUGAUGGAUUCUCUACCCUUUUUCCUGAAUGAUGGACAAAGAGUGAUACGUGUUAUGGAUGGAAGAUAGUGGCCAGCUCAGGAUUGAGUGUCUUCAGAAAUUAUGUCCAAAUGAAUCAUGGACUGAACCCAUUUUGUUAUACUAAAAUUUCCUUUGUGCACUAGAGGUCAUAAAAAUGUUUCACUGCCAAAUCUAGACCACUUUAUCCUCCAAUGAAAUUAUGAUUUCUAAAGCACAAAAUCUAAGAAAAACUCACAUUGGGUAGCAAGCAAGGCCAGCCAGUUCAUCAAUAGCCAGGCAUAAAAGUCUACAUGUUUCAUUUUGCCAAUAAGCUUGUCUGCUUCAUCUGGUGCCAACAACUCAAUCCUCUGAACAUCACAUAUUGAAUAAAGGAACCUUUUCAAAUCUACGGAAUACUUCAGUUCUCAUCUUUCUAAUGUAUCAUCUGAUACAAGGGUUCAUUCUAUCCUUCUAGAGUUAAUAAAUGAUUACUGUACCAAGUCUGAUAUUCUGGAGGUGCUGAAGUAAAAACUGCCCCAAACGUCCCCUCAGGACAGUGGUUAUUUUUUAAAACAAAUUUACUGUGUAUCCUGGAGUUUCUAGAAGUUCACUUAUGCAGAAAACUGAAUACAACAUUCACCACUGAGGUUUUAACUUUCCAUUCUUUG